AUACCUUUCUCGGCCUUUUGGCUAAGAUCAAUUGUGGUAUCUGUUCUUAUUUGUUUAAUAUCUGAUAUUUGAUCUAUUGGUUCACACGAUAUUAAUUUAAUUUUUUGAGGGGGAAGGUCCAUUAAGGUAGCUUGCUAUCUGGGCCUUUGCGUGUUGCUUAUGCAUUGCAUUAUUGCACGGGCCUGGCACACCCCCA